rnacentral:lncRNA from 1 species
UAUCACCCUAUUCAAAUGGUUGAAAGAGUCUUGUUUGGAGUUGUGUGGGGUUGAAUAAUUAUGUUUGUAAUAUUUCAGAAGUUGGCAAAAAAAGAAAAAAAAAAGAAAAAAAGAAAAAAAGAAAAAAGAAAAAGAAAAAAAUGAAAGAAAAAAAUAGAAGGAUGUCAAUACAUACUCCUUCUGAAAAAGAAAAAAAAAGAAUAAAAAGAGAAAGGAGAAGAGAAAACAAUUGCUAUAGAGUUGUUGUAGUGAAUGAAAUCUUGUAAAUUCAACUCCCGCAAUUUCUUUCAAGUCUCUUUUGUCUCUUUGAAAUUUAGCCUAGUACCC